UACAGAGGGUGCAAGCGUUUAAUCGGAAUUACUGGGCGUAAAGCGUGCGCAGACGGUCUCGUAAGUCGGGUGUGAAAUCCCCGGGCUCAACCUGGGAAUUGCAUUCGAAACUGCGAGGCUAGGGUACGGAAGAGGGAAGCGGAAUUUCUGGUGUAGCGGUGAAAUGCGUAGAUAUCAGAAGGAACAUCAGUGGCGAAAGCGGCUUCCUGGUCCAGUACCGACGUUCAGGCACGAAAGCGUGGGGGAGCAAACAGG
rnacentral:rRNA from 1 species